CCGGGCGCACGGGUGAGUAACACGUAUCCAACCUGCCGUCUACUCUUGGCCAGCCUUCUGAAGGAAGAUUAAUCCAGGAUGGGAUCAUGAGUUCACAUGUCCGCAUGAUUAAAGGUAUUUUCCGGUAGACGAUGGGGAUGCGUUCCAUUAGAUAGUAGGCGGGGUAACGGCCCACCUAGUCAACGAUGGAUAGGGGUUCUGAGAGGAAGGUCCCCCACAUUGGAACUGAGACACGGUCCAA
rnacentral:rRNA from 1 species